CCUACGGGACGCAGCAGUGAGGAAUAUUGGUCAAUGGGCGGAAGCCUGAACCAGCCAAGUAGCGUGCAGGAUGACGGCCCUACGGGUUGUAAACUGCUUUUAUACGGGAAUAACGCGCCUUAAGUGUAGGGCUUUGCAUGUACCGUAUGAAUAAGGUCCGGCUAAUUCCGUGCCAGCAGCCGCGGUAAUACGGAAGGUACGGGCGUUAUCCGGAUUUAUUGGGUUUAAAGGGAGCGUAGGCCGGAUGUCAAGCGUGCUGUGAAAGGUCCGGGCUCAACCCGGGCCUUGCAGCGCGAACUGGCGUGCUUGAGGCCGGGGAAGGCAGGCGGAAUUCGUGGUGUAGCGGUGAAAUGCUUAGAUAUGACGAAGAACCCCGAUUGCGAAGGCAGCUUGCUGCAGCGGAACUGACGCUGAUGCUCGAAAGCGCGGGUAUCGAACAGGAUUAGAUACCCUUGUAGUC
rnacentral:rRNA from 1 species